rnacentral:rRNA from 1 species
CGGCAAGAGCUCAAAUUUGAAAGCUGGCUCCUUCGGGGUCCGCAUUGUAAUUUGCAGAGGAUGCUUCGGGAGUGGCCCCCAUCUAAGUGCCCUGGAACGGGCCGUCAUAGAGGGUGAGAAUCCCGUCUGGGAUGGGGUGUCCACGCCCGUGUGAAGCUCCUUCGAC